UGCGCGGGGGCGCACGGGAGGUGUUCGACGGAAUGCCCUGCCGAUCGAGAGAGAGAGAGAGAGAGAGUGCGAGAGCGAGAGCUGUGAUUGAAUGAUGUAUGGCGAAUACCACAUCAUUGUUGCUGAUGUCCUCUCCCCACCAGAGGUUUUGUCAAAUUCUCAAACUUUGAAGGUGAACUACAAAAAAAAUUAUCAUGUGUCCACAACAAAUCCUGUGCUCUUAACAGUAGGCAAGCAUCCAAACUUUCUUAUCAGCUGCCGUUUUCUGUGAGUCAUCAGUGCAUCUGAUCAAACCAAGUAAAUUGGCAAAAGGUUAGCUUGAAGUAGAACUGUGAACAUACGAGCAGUUGAUUUGCAUGGAUGGGCAUUUGGUUUCAUUACCAUCUUCUAUGUCAAGGGACCAAAUCUCUUACUGUGGCAUGCUCUGGAAUUUAUUUUGCUACUCGUGCUUUCUGCAACAAGCUGAACCACAAGAUUGUCCACAAGGAUAAAAAUCUUAGUAGGGUUGAGAGGGAUUUGAUUGACGUCAUUACGCUCCACAAUCUCUUGCAGCUAUGUGUGAAGAGUAGGUCCCUCUUAGUUGGGAAAAGCUGCCAUGGAUUAGCCAUUCAUUUUGGGCUUGUAACUGAUACUGUCACAUGCAAUAUUCUCAUCAACUUGUACACAAAAUGUGGUCAGAAUGAUUGUGCUCGUCGUGUUUUUGAUGCAAUGUCUGUCAGAAGCAUAGUCUCAUGGAAUACCAUGAUUGCUGGAUAUACUCAUAACAGAGAGGAUGUAGAAGCACUGAAGCUUUUUUCAAGGAUGCACCGAGAAGGGACCCAGAUGACCAAAUUUACCUUAUCCAGCACUCUCUGUGCAUGUGCCGCAAAAUAUGCUAUUAUUGAAUGCAAACAGUUACACACUAUUGCCAUCAAGCUUGCACUUGAUUCUAGCAGUUUCGUUGGGACUGCAGUUCUUGAUGUUUAUGCAAAGUGUAACAUGAUUAAGGAUGCCUGCUCGAUUUUUGAAAGGAUGCCUGAGAAAACUUCAGUUACAUGGAGUUCAUUAUUUGCAGGAUAUGUGCAGAAUGGUCUCCAUGAAGAGGCGUUGUGUUUAUUCCGGAGUGCGCAAAGGGGAGGAAUUCAGUUGACUGAAUUUACUGUUUCAUCUAUCCUCAGCACGUGUGCAAGCUUAGCAUUGAUAAUUGAAGGGACACAGGUGCAUGCAGUUAUUGUUAAGAGUGGUUUUCAUAGUAACCUUUUUGUGGCAACGUCUCUUGUGGAUGUCUAUGCAAGAUGUGGGCAGAUUGAAAGAUCUUAUGAAGUAUUCGCUGAUAUGGAGCAAAAGAAUGUUGUCUUAUGGAAUGCAAUGAUUGCUAGUUUUUCUAGGCAUGCCCAUUCUUGGGAAGCAAUGAUUCUUUUUGAGAAAAUGCAGCAGGUAGGGAUAUCUCCGAAUGAAGUUACCUAUCUCUCCGUCUUGUCAGCAUGCAGUCAUACAGGCUUAGUUGAAGAGGGUCGUCACUACUUUAACCUUCUAACGUCUGAUCGGACUGUUGAGCCUAAUGUCCUUCACUAUUCCUGUAUGGUUGAUGUUUUAGGGCGAUCUGGGGAGACUGACGAGGCCUGGAAAUUACUUGAAAAAAUGCCAUUUGAACCGACUGCGUCUAUGUGGGGAUCUUUGCUUGGAUCAUGCAGGAUUCACAAGAAUGUUAGAUUAGCCAGAAUAGCAGCUGAACAACUUUUCCAUCUUGAGCCUGAAAAUGGAGGGAAUCAUGUUUUGCUUUCAAAUGUAUAUGCUGCCAGUGGAAACUGGGAGAAUGUUGUGAUGGCAAGGAAAUACUUGAGGUGUAGUGGUGCUAAAAAGGAGAUGGGCAGGAGUUGGAUUGAAGCAAAGGGAAAUGUUCAUGUUUUUGUCGUUGGAGAGAGAGAGCACCCAGGAAUAACUGAUGUACACAAUAAGUUGGAGGAAAUUUACCAUGAGAUGAGAAGGAUUUCCUACAGACCCAACACACAAUGUGAUCUGCAUGAUGUGCAUACCGACCAAAAAGAGGAGUUACUUAAAGACCACAGCGAGAAACUAGCAUUUGCUUUUGGUUUAAUCAGCUUGCCCCCUAAUGUACCAAUUACUAUAUACAAGAACCUUAGGAUCUGCGGAGACUGUCAUUCCUUUAUGAAGAUUGUAUCCUGUAUUACAGAACGCAAAAUCAUUGUCAGAGAUAUCAAUCGAUUUCACCAUUUUAAGGAUGGCUCAUGUUCUUGUGGGGACUUCUGGUGAUCUAGGACUGAAUGAGGAAUAGCAAUUAUCUACCAGUGCUACCCUUAUCAUGUAGCAAAUUAUUGCCCUGUGAGUAGUGGCGCUGCCGCACUAAAGAUCUGUGUCAGGACUUAUAUUGCUAUUCUUUGUCACUCAAGUCAAUAAUGUCAUGCUGCUGGCCCCAUCUGGUGUAAUAUCAACAUUAUCAUCUGAAUUGUGCACAACAAAUGGAAGCACAGAUUGCCUAAAGAAGUCACAAUAUGAAUUAUUUGGUUGUCCUAGUGCUCCGCAGGAGCAGUAGAUUUACUGAGAAGUGAGAAGUGCACCAUUUGAUGAACAUUUUGGCUAUGGCUCCUUGAUCGAAUCUUUGUCAUCAUUUUCUCCACUCCAAAAAUGAUGAACUCUGAAAAGUGCGUAGGGGCUCUGGUGGUGCAUGUAGCCGUACAUUGCCGUCGUCUGAUCUGCCUCCGGUUCCGGGCCACAGUCGAGGUUCACGCCGAA